CUCCACUGGUUUACACUACAGCGUGGACUGCAGUUGUAAGGCAUAUGCAAGGAGUCAGGAAACAGAUGUAGAAGGCAUCUGUUUUCGUAUUACAUUGAAGAUCAGAUGAUCAUUGUGAGGCUCUGCAGCGUCAGCUAAAAUUGAAAUAUGAGCAACAAGAAAAAUAAGACUAGUGCUCCAGAGAUGAACAACCAGCUCC